rnacentral:rRNA from 1 species
AUCACUUGGGGAUUAACCUUGCGAAAGUAAGACUAAUACCCAAUGACGUCUCUAGAAGACAUCUGAAAGAGAUUAAAGAUUUAGUCGGUGAUGGAUGGGGAUGCGUCUGAUUAGCUUGUUGGCGGGUAACGGCCCNCAAGGCGACGAUCAGUAGGGGUUCUGAGAGGAAGGUCCCCCACAUUGGAACUGAGACACGGUCCAAACUCCUACGGGAGGCAGCAGUGAGGAAUAUUGGUCAAUGGACGAGAGUCUGAACCAGCCAAGUAGCGUGCAGGAUGACGGCCCUAUGGGUUGUAAACUGCUUUUAUAAGGGAAUAAAGUGAGUCUCGUGAGGCUUUUUGCAUGUACCUUAUGAAUAAGGACCGGCUAAUUCCGUG